AGCAGUGGUGGCUGAAUGGUUAAGGCUCUGGGUUACUAAUCAGGAGGCCAUGGGUUCAAGCCCCAGCACUGUCA